GACGAACGCUGGCGGCGCGCCUAACACAUGCAAGUCGAACGGAGCUGAGAGAAGCUUGCUUUUCUUAGCUUAGUGGCGAACGGGUGAGUAACGCGUGAGUAACCUGCCCUGGAGUGGGGGACAACAGUUGGAAACGACUGCUAAUACCGCAUAAGCCCACGAUCCGGCAUCGGAUUGAGGGAAAAGGAUUUAUUCGCUUCAGGAUGGACUCGCGUCCAAUUAGCUAGUUGGUGAGGUAACGGCCCACCAAGGCGACGAUUGGUAGCCGGACUGAGAGGUUGAACGGCCACAUUUGGACUGAGACACGGCCCAGACUCCUACGGGAGGCAGCAGUGGGGGAUAUUGCACAAUGGGGGAAACCCUGAUGCAGCGACGCCGCGUGGAGGAAGAAGGUUUUCGGAUUGUAAACUCCUGUCGUUAGGGACGAUAAUGACGGUACCUAACAAGAAAGCACCGGCUAACUACGUG
rnacentral:rRNA from 1 species